AGACCCGAAACCCGGUGAUCUAGCCAUGGGCAGGUUGAAGGUUGGGUAACACUAACUGGAGGACCGAACCGACUAAUGUUGAAAAAUUAGCGGAUGACCUGUGGCUGGGGGUGAAAGGCCAAUCAAACCGGGAGAUAGCUGGUUCUCCCCGAAAGCUAUUUAGGUAGCGCCUCGUGAAUUCAUCUCCGGGGGUAGAGCACUGUUUCGGCUAGGGGGCCAUCCCGGCUUACCAACCCGAUGCAAACUGCGAAUACCGGAGAAUGUUAUCACGGGAGACACACGGCGGGUGCUAACGUCCGUCGUGAAGAGGGAAACAACCCAGACCGCCAGCUAAGGUCCCAAAGUCAUGGUUAAGUGGGAAACGAUGUGGGAAGGCCCAGACAGCCAGGAUGUUGGCUUAGAAGCAGCCAUCAUUUAAAGAAAGCGUAAUAGCUCACUGGUCGAGUCGGCCUGCGCGGAAGAUGUAACGGGGCUAAACCAUGCACCGAAGCUGCGGCAGCGACGCUUAUGCGUUGUUGGGUAGGGGAGCGUUCUGUAAGCCUGCGAAGGUGGCCUGUGAGGGUUGCUGGAGGUAUCAGAAGUGCGAAUGCUGACAUAAGUAACGAUAAAGCGGGUGAAAAGCCCGCUCGCCGGAAGACCAA
rnacentral:rRNA from 1 species